rnacentral:lncRNA from 1 species
CUCCACUCUCCUUCAAGAAAACACUUCAGUUUCCCAGUGAAGAAUCAGGAUCAUGACUCUGACCAAUGUGUGGUAGCAGCUUGUGAGUAGGAAGAUGGAAGAAUCUCCAUCUCUUUUGGCAUCAUGGAACUGUCCUGCAUGGCUUACUUCCAGACUUUGUUAUAGCUAUCACAAAAAUAAAACAGAAAAAGGAAAUAAAUUUUCCUGA